UACAGGGGGGGCAAGCGUUGUUCGGAAUUACUGGGCGUAAAGGGCCCGUAGGUGGCCAACUAAGUCAGACGUGAAAUCCCUCAGCUUAACUGGGGAACUGCGUCUGAUACUGGAUGGCUUGAGUUUGGGAGAGGGAUGCGGAAUUCCAGGUGUAGCGGUGAAAUGCGUAGAUAUCGGGAGGAACACCAGUGGCGAAGGCGACUUCCUGGCCUGUUCUUGACGCUGAGGCGCGAAAGCUAGGGGAGCAAACGGG
rnacentral:rRNA from 1 species